rnacentral:rRNA from 1 species
AGCUCGUGUCGUGAGAUGUUGGGUUAAGUCCCGCAACGAGCGCAACCUUGCCUUUAGUUGCCAGCAGUUCGGCUGGGCACUCUAAAGGGACUGCCGGUGUUAAACCGGAGGAAGGUGGGGAUGACGUCAAGUCCUCAUGGCCUUUAUGACCAGGGCUACACACGUACUACAAUGGCCGAUACAAAGGGCAGCGACACUGCGAGGUGAAGCCAAUCCCGUAAAAUCGGUCUCAGUCCGGAUUGGAGUCUGCAACUCGACUCCAUGAAGUUGGAAUCGCUAGUAAUCGUGGAUCAGCAUGCCACGGUGAAUACGUUCCCGGGCCUU